GACGAACGCUGGCGGCGUGCUUAACACAUGCAAGUCGAACGGAAAGGCCCUGCUUUUGUGGGGUGCUCGAGUGGCGAACGGGUGAGUAACACGUGAGUAACCUGCCCUUGACUUUGGGAUAACUUCAGGAAACUGGGGCUAAUACCGGAUAGGAGCUCCUGCUGCAUGGUGGGGGUUGGAAAGUUUCGGCGGUUGGGGAUGGACUCGCGGCUUAUCAGCUUGUUGGUGGGGUAGUGGCUUACCAAGGCUUUGACGGGUAGCCGGCCUGAGAGGGUGACCGGCCAACUUGGGAAUGAGAAACCGGCCAGACUCCUACGGGAGGCAGCAGUGGGGAAUAUUGCACAAUGGGCGGAAGCCUGAUGCAGCAACGCCGCGUGCGGGAUGACGGCCUUCGGGUUGUAAACCGCUUUCGCCUGUGACGAAGCGUGAGUGACGGUAAUGGGUAAAGAAGCACCGGCUAACUACGUG
rnacentral:rRNA from 1 species